rnacentral:lncRNA from 1 species
GCUCGACUCUUGCAUUAUAAUACUAGGCUAUCCUUUGCUGAUAUGCAACCAUCCGAACUUGAGUUUGCUAUCGGAGUUCUGGAAGGAGAUCUAAGUCAGCUCUCUGAUAUUCGGAGUUGCUCGGUUCACUAUAUUGUUUCACUCUUGUUGAUGGCAAUCCGAUCUCGAGCGGUAUCAUUGCUUCUGUCCCAUAAGCUAAAUUAAAGGAAGAUUCUUCGAUCGGUAUGUGGGGAGUCGUUCAUAUGUCCAUA